rnacentral:rRNA from 1 species
UACGAAGGGGGCGAGCGUUGUUCGGAAUUACUGGGCGUAAAGGGCGCGUAGGCGGCCCUCUAAGUCAGACGUGAAAUCCCUCGGCUCAACCGGGGAACUGCGUCUGAUACUGGAGGGCUUGAAUCCGGGAGAGGGAUGUGGAAUUCCAGGUGUAGCGGUGAAAUGCGUAGAUAUCUGGAGGAACACCGGUGGCGAAGGCGGCAUCCUGGACCGGUAUUGACGCUGAGGCGCGAAAGCUAGGGGAGCAAACGGGG